rnacentral:rRNA from 1 species
CGGUAAUUCCAGCUCCAAUAGCGUAUACUAAAGUUGUUGCAGUUAAAAAGCUCGUAGUUGGAUUUCUGCGGGGACGGAGCGGCCGGACGCAACUUGCGUCUCGAGCUAGCGCUUUCCCCGCAUCCUGCCGCGAACCGUGCUACCAUUAGUUUGGUGGCGCUGGGGAUCGGCUCGAUUACUUUGAGAAAAAUAGAGUGUUCAAAGCAGGCCACACGCCUUGAAUAAGUUAGCAUGGAAUAAUGACUAAGGACUUCGGUUCUAUUUUGUUGGUGUUCGGGACUGAAGUAAUGAUUGAUAGGGACAGUUGGGGCGGUCUGUAUUCCAAAGCGAGAGGUGAAAUUCUUAGACCUUCGGAAGACAAACAGCUGCGAAAGCGUUCCGCAAGGAUGUUCCCUUUGAUCAAGAACGAAAGUUGGGGGAUCGAAGACGAUCAGAUACCGUCGUAGUCUCAACUAUAAACUAUACCAGCUAGGGAUCGGCCAACGUUUAAUUAUUCGACUUGGUCGGCACCUUAUGAGAAAUCAAAGCAUCUGGGUUCCGGGGGGAGUAUGGUCGCAAGGCUGAAACUUAAAGGAAUUGACGGAAGGGCACCACCAGCCGUGGAGCCUGUGGCUUAAUUUGACUCAACACGGGAAAACUUACCAGGUCCAGACAUAGGAAGGAUUGACAGAUUGAUAGCUCUUUCUUGAUUCUGUGGGUGGUGGUGCAUGGCCGUUUUUAGUUGGUGGAGUGAUUUGUCUGCUUAAUUGCGUUAACGAACGAGACCCCAGCCUGCUAAAUAGCGCGGCCGAGCUUUGCUCGGUGCGAGCUUCUUAGAGGGACCAUGAUGCGCGAUAGCACAAGGAAGUUUGGGGCAACAACAGGUCUGUGAUGCCCUUAGAUGUUCUGGGCCGCACACGGGCUACACUGGCGCCUGCAACGAGCAUAUCAGCUGGCCCGAGAGGGUCUUGGCUAAUCUUUUGAACCGGCGCCGUGCUUGGGAUUGACCUUUGCAAUUGUUGGUCAUGCAACGAGGAAUGCCUUGUAAACGCGAGUCAUCAGCUCGCAUUGAAUACGUCCCUGCCCCUGUAAACGCCGCCC